CUUUGUCUCUGCAAGCUCCAUUCAGAGGUGUAAGGGGCAGAUGGUGUUGCCCAGGGGUAGAUGGUAUAAACCCCUUCGUGUUCGUGACGCCAGGGCGUGAUUUGACCUUAAUCACCCGAAGGGGGUAGUAUUGAUGGCCUAUCCCUAAGAUCAAUAUCUGACAGGGCCCAACUCUCAAGAAAAAAGGCAUUCAGCGCUUCAAGUAAAAACCUUGUCCCGAAGCACAGUUUGAUUCCAUGGCUUACAAAAAAGACUAUAAGGAGUCCCAAUACCAUCCAGAGCAGAAUCCUGUCCGGCUGCAGCAUCAUCUUUGUCCAAACUGAAGCACAGGCUGGGACAAAGUGCAGUAAGUGAGGGUGGGAUUAGUAUUCCUCUGUGCGCACUCCUGU